UACGGGGGGAGCAAGCGUUGUUCGGAUUUACUGGGCGUAAAGGGCGUGUAGGCGGCCACCGCAAGUCGGUUGUGAAAUCUCUGGGCUUAACCCAGAAAGGUCAACCGAUACUGCGGGGCUAGAGUGCAGAAGGGGCAACUGGAAUUCUCGGUGUAGCGGUGAAAUGCGUAGAUAUCAGGAAGAACACCGGUGGCGAAGGCGCUCUGCUAGGCCGCAACUGACACUGAGGGACGAAAGCUAGGGGAGCGAAUGGG
rnacentral:rRNA from 1 species